AGUGAACGCUGGCGGCGUGCCUAAUACAUGCAAGUCGAACGGAGUGGCGCACGGGUGAGUAAUGUAUAGCUAAUCUGCCCUCCACUAGAGGACAACAGGUGGAAACGACUGCUAAUACUCUAUAGUGUAGGAUGAGGGUAUAUUGUAUCAGCUAGUUGGUGAGGUAAUGGCUCACCAAGGCUAUGACGGAUAACUGGUCUGAGAGGAUGAUCAGUCACUCUGGAACUGAGACACGGUUGAGACUCCUACGGGAUGGAGCAGGAGGGAAUAUUGCUCAAUGGGGGAAACCCUGAAGCAGCAACGCCUCGUGGAGGAUGACACUUUUCGGAGCGUAAACUCCUGUUGUUAGGGAAGCGGUACCUAACGAAUAAGCACCGGCUAACUCCGUGCCAGCAGCCGCGGUAAUUC
rnacentral:rRNA from 1 species